UUCCAAGAGUUUAUGUGUGCAGCAGCGCACCAGCUAACUCACCAUAACCAUAGUGUCCUAUAUUGGCGGCUAGAGCUUACUGGGGGCUUCCAUAGCGUGGUCAAACACCUACCCCACAAAUGAGAAAUCUUUUGCCCUAUGAACUUGUGCUUGCAUCAACCAACCAACAUCAUCUCAUCAUUCGCAUCAGCAGUGAAGUUUAUAGAGUCCCGUCAUGGCCAUCAGCAGCGACAUCGACAGUUUUCCUAUUGACUUCCACCCUUGAAGGCAAUAUGAUGUAGUGAAACUAGCGGAGGUGGUAACACAAAGUCGGGAGUCCGGAAUUCUGAUUGUGAAGCCGACACAGCAGAGCAUAUUGUAGGAGGAUUGGCAACGGCAGGCAGUAGCCUUAAUUUAACUUUCAUAGCUUUGUCUCGCCUUGUCAAAUUGUUGAACCAAAACUAUACAAAGGCCAUCAUGUCGAACAGUGAUGGCCAGUUUUCAAUUAUGGAUAUAUCCAGAUCAAGCAUUCACGUCGUGUCGCUUGUCCAUGCUUCGUUGCUCGUUUCAAGUCCAUGUCAAGAGGGAUUACUAAAAAUAAUAUUAUGUCCACGAGUAGGUCGUACGAAGCUGCUGGGUUGAAAAUUGUUACCUAGGGCUUUGAAAUCCGGAGAAAACUUGAAAUAUGUAAAAAUUUCCGUUUGAAAUAUUUUUUAUCAUGGAAUCUUGGACGCCAUACUUGAGUUUUAAUCUGGACGCAAAAAAAGUGCCUUAAUACAGAUUUUAUAGUUUUUGAAAGAAUUGAAAAGAACAAAAGCUAGUUUAAUUCUUCAAUAAGGAAAAUCAAAGUAUUUUUUAGUACGUAUACUAUUCAAUAAUCUUAAGGGUAUGUGAAAAAAUGAGUCAGAGAAUCAGAAAUAAAUUGUAUCAAAUAAAUUAUGAAUGGGUCACUGUGGUGUA